rnacentral:rRNA from 1 species
UACGUAGGGUGCGAGCGUUGUCCGGAAUUAUUGGGCGUAAAGAGCUCGUAGGCGGCUUGUCGCGUCGGAUGUGAAAGCCCGGGGCUCAACCCCGGGCCUGCAUUCGAUACGGGCAUCACUGGAGUUCGGCAGGGGAGACUGGAAUUCCUGGUGUAGCGGUGAAAUGCGCAGAUAUCAGGAGGAACACCGGUGGCGAAGGCGGGUCUCUGGGCCGAUACUGACGCUGAGGAGCGAAAGCGUGGGGAGCGAACAGG